rnacentral:lncRNA from 1 species
GCUGAGGCAGGAGAAUUGCUUGAACCUGGGAGGCAGAUGUUGCAGUAAGCCGAGAUCACGCCACUGCACUCCAGGGUAGGCAACAAAGCGAGACUCUGUCUCAAUAAAAAAAAAAAAGGAAUGUAUAGACCUUCUUUAUUCUUUUUGAUGGCUGUAGGUGGAUGUUCUAAAAUUUGUGUAACCAAUCUCCUAUUGAUAAUAUUUAAGUUAUGUCUUCAGCAUCAUAUGAAACUUACAAACAAGGUUGCAUUGACUAUCCAUCUGUAAAUGUCUUUUUGAACAUUUCUAGAAUAAUUGCAGGAUAAACUCCUAAAAUGAGAAUUUCUGGGUCAAAGAGGAUAUGCAUUUUACAUUUAAUAGAUAUUUGUCAAAUUGUCUUCCAAAGUGGUCGUACCAAUUAACACCCCGACCUGUAAUGAAUGAGAGUGCCUUUUUUCCCCACACCCUGGAGAGAUGAAAAAUUUAUGGGCCCACUUUGGAGUGCAUGGUGGAGGAAGCUGUUGGCCGUUAUAUAACCCUCGUCAUUAAUAAGCCUGGGGGUGGGGGGGGAGAAAGAGAGGUUAGUUAGUGGGUGCAAACAUACAAUUAGAUAGAAGUAAUAAGUUCUAAUGUUCGAUAGCAGAGGAGGGUGACUAUAGUUAACAACAAUGUAUUGUAUAUUUCAAAAUAGCUAGAAUGGAGGACUUAAAAUAUUCCAACACAUAGAAAUAAUAAAUGCUUGUCUGCGGCCAUGCCACCCUGAAUGUGCCAGAUCUUGUUUGUUCUUGGAAGCUAAGCAGGGUUGAACCUGGUUAGUAUUUGGAUGGGAGAAAUGAUAAAUGCUUGAGGUGAUAGAUAUCCUAAAUACCCUGUCGAACAUUAUACAUUCUAUAUAUGUAACAAAAUAUCACACGUAUCCCAUAAAUAUGUACAAAUAUAAUGUAUCAGUAAAGAGAGGGCUGGGCACGGUGGCUCACAUCUGUAAUCCCAGCAAUUUGGCAGGCCAGGGUGGGAGGAUAGCUUGAGGCCAGGAGUUCAAGAUCAGCCUGGGCAACAUAGCGAGACUCUGUCUCCACAAAAAAUAAAAAUAAAAACGAAUUAGCCAGGCGUGGUGAUGCAUGCUUAUAGUCCCAGCUACUUGGGAGGCUGAUGCAGGAGGAUUGCUUGAGCCCAGGAGUUUGAGGCUGCAGUGAGCCUACGACUGCACCACUGCACUCUCCAGCCUAGGCAACAGAGGAAGACCAUGUUUCUAAAAGAAAUAAAUUAAAUAAAAUAAAUAAAAAUAAAAAGACUGAAAAGCAGAGUGGUAAGAGAAAGGACUUUGGGGCUCAACAGUACUAGCCUUGAACCCUGGCUGUUACUUACCCAUCGUGUGAUAAGCAAAUGCCUUAACCCCUGUGUGCCUCACUUUCUUAACAUAUAAAAUAGAAGUAAAAAUCAUACCCACUUCAAGGGUCAUUAUAAAAAGCCAAUAGAGAUAAUGUAUAUAAAGCUUCUGGAAUAAUGCCUGGCACACAGUAGGAGUUUAAUAACUGGAAAUUCAUUGUUGUAGUGGGCAGCCUUCUGAAUCUGUGUCCUCUUUGUCCACUAAUGGCUUUGAUCUGGAUUUGGCUCAGGCAAGACCUGGGGAAGGGCAGAGACUGAGGGCAACUGGAGGUAUAGGGUGGUCUGAGCUUCCCCAGCAGAGUGAGGCUGGGAAAGGUCUGGGAGACAGACCAGGCAGGUGCUGAUAAGACCGGAAUGGGAGGCUGGAGCAUAAGGCAGUUCAGUUUUUCCCAAAGGGGGGUGUACAAAACGAUCUCGUAUGACUCCUUUAUACUGUUAAUGUUUUCAUUUUAUCGCGCACUGAAAAACAAAACCAACAUAUUUAAUGAAUGAUUCCAAGGGGAUUCUUGCUUUUACAAAAAAUGCUAAAGUAGGCAUUCACAUGUUUAAAAAUUGAGUUGAUUUAAAUUUUAAAAUUACUAAGUCAUAGUACAUAAUGUGUGAGCCACAGCUAUCCCCAAAAUCAUGAUAGCGAUACAUUAAUGACUGAAGUUCUUUAAACAUCAACAUACAAUGCCAAUUCCAGAAUUCAGCUCAAAUUCUGCAAUUACACAGGCUGGGGUUGAAACCCAGCUUUUUUGCUAACUGUGUAAAAUUAGGCAGGAGGGCUAACCUCGCUGAAUCUCAGAUGUCUAGUCUGUAAAUUGAAGAUAAUGUUUGUUUUUAUCUCACAGAGUUGUUGUGAAGAUUCAAUAAAAUCACAACAUGUGAGGAUGAUCUGGCUGUGACACCUGUCACCCCACUGAUCUCCAGAGUUGAUUCGGCUGAUCAGGCUGGCUGGGCAGGUGUCCCCUUUCUCCCUCACCACUCCGCAUGCAUUCCUCCCGAAACUGCACACUUGGUCAAAGAGGAAGACCUUUCCUGAUAGAGGAGGACCAUUCUUCAGUCAAGGGUAUAUGAGCACCUGUUCUGUCCUGCCAGAAUCUCCGAAGGAGCUCUCAGUAAAAUCACAAGAUUUUAUUGUGCAUGGUAGCAUGAGCCUGUAAUCCCAGCUACUCAGGAGGCCGAGCUAGGAGGACUGCUUGAGCCCAGGAGUUUGAGACCAGCCUGCGCAACAUAGUGAGACCCUGUCUCAAAAAAAAGAAAGAAAGAAAGAAAAGAAUAAUAAUAGUAAUAAAUCACCUGUGCAACGUGCUCACUUCUCUCUUUGGAAUGUAGUAAGUGUACCUAAUAAAUGUGAUCAUUGUAAUCAUCACAGUGAGCACAGGCUAAAGCAUCUUGACUUUAUUCUAUAAGCAAUAAAAGAGGAUUUGUUUUUACAGAACUCAUUAUGUUGUGAAAAUAAUUUUCCAACAUUAACAAAGAACAUUCUUCAAGUAAAAGGAAAACCACCCAUCAUUCUCCCAACCUUCAAUAAUUUUCAAUUUUGCAUAUUCUCCAGACUUUGUCAACAUGAAUACUUACUUUACAUGGUCGCAAUCAGUGUUCAUGCAAAUUCUUUUAUCCUGACUUUUAUAAACAAAUAUGAUGUUAUAAACCGGUCUCCAUGUUUCUGCAUAUUCUUUAUAAUUAUCAUUUUGUGGCUGCAUAAUAUUGCAUUGACUAUGUUAACUGCAGUUUUCUUAACCAUUUCACUGUCUGGGGAAAUGGAGGAUAAUGCCAGGGUCAUGCCUGGAGCUUUUUUUUGUCUAUUGCAUUAUAUUCUUAAGAUCAAAUCCCAGCAGUGAGAUUAGUCAGUCAAAAAGUAAUAAUAUUUUCAAGGCUCUUGUUAUAUUUUACUAGAUUGUUUUCCAGAGUUUUGCACACUGCUCCCAGAGAUGUAGGAACACAGACGUCAUCCAACCUUGCCAGUGCUGGGUGAUGGUGUUUAUAAACUUCUGCUAAUUUAAUAAGUAUGAAAUGCUAUCCUCACACGGCUUUCAUUUCUAUCUCUUUGAUCAUUAACAGGUUGAACUAUUUUCCAAGUAUUUGUUUACUCUCUGCAUACCCUCUUGGGUGAAGUAGUCAUCCACUUCCUUCACCUGUUUAUCUGUUGAAGUCUUGAGGCUUGUUUUAUAAAUGUGAGCGAGCACUUCAGAGUCAAUAGACAUUAAUUGCUUCCAGCCAGAUUUGGCCACUGAGGCUCCUGAGCAGGGGAAUGCAUGAUCAAAACUACACCCUGGACAGAUUAAAUUAAUUGGAGAAAAUGGGCUGAGAGGCAGAGAUAUGUGUCACUGGCCUACUGUGUUUGAUCCUAUAGUGGGGGCCUGAACUGGGGCAACGGCCUGAGUCCCCCACUACCAGUAGCAGGAGGCUCCAUGUGUCCCCCAUAUUAGAGCUUGCGGCACUUCCAUUUGCCCCACCUCCUACAAUACCCCACAUACAUGUACUCACUCUCCCUUGCAAAUCUAGUGGCUUCAACCCACAGAAUUUAAGGGGAAAGGAAUUGUUCUGUCCUGUUCACUUACUGCAGAAAUGAGAAAAGCGUUGUUCACAUGGGAUCACCUAAUGAAGGGAUGCCAUCCCCAACGGUGCCUAUAAGGAAAUGGGGGAGGGUUGGAGAGUUGUGCAAAAUGCAACAGGGAAUCAUCAGAGUCUCUUGCCCCAUGAUAGAGGGUUCUCAAAUUAAGAGAGUCUACAGCAACUAAUCUCACGGCCACUCUAGGCAGGGCUUCCCAAUGCUUCCCCAACCCCACCUCCAUCCUAGACUUUACCCACUCUGCUGAACACAGAUGUUACCCAUAGCACCUUGCACCAUGAUUGUUUGAUUAGCACCUCCCACAGUAGACUGUGUUUCUGAUAGGUCAGCAACAUUUGCUGAGCACCUACUCUGCAGGGCUGUGCCAGGUGCACAAAAUAAACAAAGCCAAAGACAACAUGGACCCUGAACUCAGCAAGUUCAGAGUCAAGUGGGAUAGGGAGGCUCUCUUCACUGGAAGGUAACUCCAAGAAACAAUGGGACUCAACUUUCUAACCAAGAGAACUCCAGGGAGCUAAAAUUCUGACUUCUGGUUAAGACUGGUGUGGAGCUUCAUUAAAGAAGAAAAGAUUCACCCAGACUUGAGUUCAUAGCCUGGCUUUGCAGCUUUUAAGUCAUGUAACCUUUGAUGAAGUUAUGUGACCUCUCCACCCAGCUGCCCCUAACACUUGCAGGGGCAGGGCUGGAGUGCAAAGGGAGGCACUGGUACCACAGCCUGGGAGGCACCACCCCACUAGUGCAAGCCGGGCAACCUCUGCCCCCAAGGCAUCCCUAGCCUCCCAACUGCAAGCAUCAAUCUUGCACUUGGAAAGGAACCUCACCUUUGAAAUCUAGGUUCAAAUUUAGAAUGAUCCAGCUCCUUGAAGUUCUAUACAGAAAUACAGCCAGCAGCCAGGCCCGGUGGCUCACGCCUGUAAUCCCAGCACUUUGGGAGGCUGAGGUGGGUGGAUCACUUGAGGACAGAAGUUCGAGACCAGCCUGACCAACAUGGUGAAACCCCGUUUCUACUAAAAAUACAAAAUUAGCCAGGCAUGGUGGUACACGCCUGUAAUCCCAGCUACUUGGGAGGCUGAGGCAGGAGAAUUGCUUGAACCCAGGAGGCAGAGGUUGAAGUGAGCCAAGAUCGUGCCAUUGCACUCCAGCCUGGGCAACAAGAGCGAAACUCCAUCUCAAAAAAAAACAAAACACACGCAGCUUCCCUCCACUUCCCAACCACAGCUCCAUCUCAGACAACAAGGGGCCUCAUGUCCAUGCACAUGAAUAUCCAACCAACAUGUCUAAGGCCCAACCACACCCUCUCCAAACAUCUGCCCCUUGGCCACCCUUUGGCCAUGGGUUCAUGCACUGGCAGAAAGGUAGUUCAGAGAAGAAGCCCACAAAGGGCCGGGAAGUCCACUUGGGCUUUUUGAGAUUCCAGGGUCCAGGAUAACCUAAGUGUGGUCUAGAAGAGAGAUGCAGCUUCUGGGAGGCACAUUCCUUGGUCUUAGGGACUUCUUGCCCCCAUGGAGGGAAACUGGCUAGAUGAGGGCCAAAGCAGAGCCCUCUAAAGCACAGGGCUCAGGGAAGGACUCUUUUUGACCAGAUCUAAGAGCAGCACUACCUCUCUGAGCCUGUUUCUCCAUCUGUAAGAAGGGGACAUUAAUAGACUCUCCCCGCUAGAGUUACUCUACAUCAGCCAGCACACGUAAGUUCAUGACAUGAAGCAAGGGCUUAAUAUAUACCCGUUG